AGUGAACGCUGGCGGUAGGCCUAACACAUGCAAGUCGAACGGCAGCACAGUAAGAGCUUGCUCUUACGGGUGGCGAGUGGCGGACGGGUGAGGAAUACAUCGGAAUCUACUUUUUCGUGGGGGAUAACGUAGGGAAACUUACGCUAAUACCGCAUACGACCUACGGGUGAAAGCAGGGGAUCUUCGGACCUUGCGCGAUUGAAUGAGCCGAUGUCGGAUUAGCUAGUUGGCGGGGUAAAGGCCCACCAAGGCGACGAUCCGUAGCUGGUCUGAGAGGAUGAUCAGCCACACUGGAACUGAGACACGGUCCAGACUCCUACGGGAGGCAGCAGUGGGGAAUAUUGGACAAUGGGCGCAAGCCUGAUCCAGCCAUACCGCGUGGGUGAAGAAGGACUUCGGGUUGUAAAGCCCUUUUGUUGGGAAAGAAAAGCAGCGGGUUAAUACCCCGCUGUUCUGACGGUACCCAAAGAAUAAGCACCGGCUAACUUCGUG
rnacentral:rRNA from 1 species